UACGGGGGGGGCAAGCGUUGUUCGGAAUUACUGGGCGUAAAGGGCUCGUAGGCGGCCAACUAAGUCGGAUGUGAAAUCCCCAAGCUUAACUUGGGAACUGCAUCCGAUACUGGAUGGCUUGAAUCCGGGAGAGGGAUGCAGAAUUCCAGGUGUAGCGGUGAAAUGCGUAGAGAUCCGGAGGAACACCAGUGGCGAAGGCGACACGCUGGGCCGUACCUGACACUGAACCGCGACAGCAUGGGGAGCAAACAGG
rnacentral:rRNA from 1 species